GACGAACGCUGGCGGCGUGCUUAACACAUGCAAGUCGUACGGUAAGGCCCUUUCGGGGGUACACGAGUGGCGAACGGGUGAGUAACACGUGAGUAACCUGCCCACAACUUUGGGAUAACGCUAGGAAACUGGUGCUAAUACUGGAUAUGUUCUCCUGCUGCAUGGUGGGGGUUGGAAAGCUCCGGCGGUUGUGGAUGGACUCGCGGCCUAUCAGCUUGUUGGUGGGGUAGUGGCCUACCAAGGCGGCGACGGGUAGCCGGCCUGAGAGGGUGACCGGCCACAUUGGGACUGAGAGACGGCCCAGACUCCUACGGGAGGCAGCAGUGGGGAAUAUUGCACAAUGGGCGCAAGCCUGAUGCAGCAACGCCGCGUGCGGGAUGACGGCCUUCGGGUUGUAAACCGCUUUCAGCAGGGACGAAGCUUUUUGUGACGGUACCUGCAGAAGAAGCACCGGCUAACUACGUG
rnacentral:rRNA from 1 species